rnacentral:rRNA from 1 species
AGAGUUUGAUCCUGGCUCAGGACGAACGCUGCGGCGUGCUUAACACAUGCAAGUCGAACGGAAAGGGCCCUUCGGGGUACGUCGAGUGGCGAACGGGUGAGUAACACGUGGGUGAUCUGCCCUGCACUUUGGGAUAAGCCUGGGAAACUGGGUCUAAUACCGAAUAGGACCGCGCUCUUCAUGGGGUGUGGUGGAAAGCUUUUGCGGUGUGGGAUGGGCCCGCGGCCUAUCAGCUUGUUGGUGGGGUAAUGGCCUACCAAGGCGACGACGGGUAGCCGGCCUGAGAGGGUGACCGGCCACACUGGGACUGAGAUACGGCCCAGACUCCUACGGGAGGCAGCAGUGGGGAAUAUUGCACAAUGGGCGCAAGCCUGAUGCAGCGACGCCGCGUGAGGGAUGACGGCCUUCGGGUUGUAAACCCCUUUCAGUAGGGACGAAGCGCAAGUGACGGUACCUAUAGAAGAAGGACCGGCCAACUACGUG